rnacentral:rRNA from 1 species
ACGAACGCUGGCGGCAGGCCUCACACAUGCAAGUCGAGCGAGGACUUCGGUUCUAGCGGCGGACGGGUGAGUAACGCGUGGGAAUGUGCCCUUCUCUACGGAAUAGCCCUGGGAAACUGGGAGUAAUACCGUAUACGCCCUAUUGGGGAAAGAUUUAUCGGAGAAGGAUCAGCCCGCGUUGGAUUAGGUAGUUGGUGGGGUAAUGGCCUACCAAGCCGACGAUCCAUAGCUGGGUUGAGAGGAUGAUCAGCCACACUGGGACUGAGACACGGCCCAGACUCCUACGGGAGGCAGCAGUGGGGAAUCUUAGACAAUGGGGGCAACCCUGAUCUAGCCAUGCCGCGUGAGUGAUGAAGGCCUUAGGGUUGUAAAGCUCUUUCAGCUGGGAAGAUAAUGACGGUACCAGCAGAAGAAGCCCCGGCUAACUCCGUG